rnacentral:rRNA from 1 species
UACGAAGGGGGCUAGCGUUGUUCGGAAUCACUGGGCGUAAAGCGCACGUAGGCGGAUUUUUAAGUCAGGGGUGAAAUCCCGAGGCUCAACCUCGGAACUGCCUUUGAUACUGGAGAUCUUGAGUCCGGAAGAGGUAAGUGGAACUGCGAGUGUAGAGGUGAAAUUCGUAGAUAUUCGGAAGAACACCAGUGGCGAAGGCGGCUCACUGGACGACUGUUGACGCUGAGGUGCGAAAGCGUGGGGAGCAAACAGG